rnacentral:rRNA from 2 species
GAUAGCUUGCUAUCAAUGCUGACGAGCGGCGGACGGGUGAGUAAUGCCUGGGAAUAUGCCCUGAUGUGGGGGAUAACUAUUGGAAACGAUAGCUAAUACCGCAUAAUCUCUUCGGAGCAAAGAGGGGGACCUUCGGGCCUCUCGCGUCAGGAUUAGCCCAGGUGGGAUUAGCUUGUUGGUGGGGUAAUGGCUCACCAAGGCAACGAUCCCUAGCUGGUCUGAGAGGAUGAUCAGCCACACUGGAACUGAGACACGGUCCAGACUCCUACGGGAGGCAGCAGUGGGGAAUAUUGCACAAUGGGGGAAACCCUGAUGCAGCCAUGCCGCGUGUAUGAAGAAGGCCUUCGGGUUGUAAAGUACUUUCAGUUGUGAGGAAGGCGUUGAUGUUAAUAGCUUCAGCGUUUGACGUUAGCAACAGAAGAAGCACCGGCUAACUCCGUGCCAGCAGCCGCGGUAAUACGGAGGGUGCGAGCGUUAAUCGGAAUUACUGGGCGUAAAGCGCAUGCAGGUGGUCUGUUAAGCAAGAUGUGAAAGCCCGGGGCUCAACCUCGGAACAGCAUUUUGAACUGGCAGACUAGAGUACU